AAUGGGCGAAAGCCUGACGGAGCAACGCCGCGUGAGGGAUGAAGGCCUCUGGGCUGUAAACCUCUUUUAUCAAGGAAGAAGAUCUGACGGUACUUGAUGAAUAAGUCACGGCUAAUUCCGUGCCAGCAGCCGCGGUAAUACGGGAGUGGCAAGCGUUAUCCGGAAUUAUUGGGCGUAAAGCGUCCGCAGGCGGCCCUUCAAGUCUGCUGUUAAAAAGUGGAGCUUAACUCCAUCAUGGCAGUGGAAACUGUUGGGCUUGAGUGUGGUAGGGGCAGAGGGAAUUCCCGGUGUAGCGGUGAAAUGCGUAGAUAUCGGGAAGAACACCAGUGGCGAAGGCGCUCUGCUGGGCCAUCACUGACGCUCAUGGACGAAAGCCAGGGGAGCGAAAGGGAUU
rnacentral:rRNA from 1 species